rnacentral:rRNA from 1 species
AAUNANUGUAGAGCGCGAUNUUCAUCCANAACGGUAGGUUNUAGGUUUUUCAAAUAUAUAUCGUACCGGGGUAGGUUUACAUAUAGUAAUCAAACAAAAAAUGCAAAUCAAUGUGAUAACAUGAAAAAAAGCAACGUCAGNCACACUAGAAGAAAACCUCACAAAAAACUAAAAAGAGAUAGAACAAAAACAAAAAAAAUAUACAAAAAGCAAAAUCAUAUAAAAAAACANAGAAACAAAGCUGAAACAAAAAAGAUAUAAUCUAAAGUACAU